GAGAGAUGGCUGAGCUGGUUGAAGGCACUCGACUCGAAAUCGAGCAAGGUAGAAAUAUCUUCGGGGGUUCGAAUCCCUUUCUCUCC
rnacentral:tRNA from 1 species